GCGACCGGGUAAGUUUGACAACAGCAGAGCACAGUGCCACAUGUGGUGUUUCCCUUUCAGAUGACUCGUGUUACGUUGUGUCAGGAACAUUUGAAGAAGGCAAUCCAUUGAGAUAUCGUAUCAAUACGUGCGGCUUCCAUAUGAAAUGUAGUGCAAUAACUAAUUUACAGUGGAGGGGACUGAACAGAGGUUACAGAAAGGCUUGCAAGAGUAACUGCAAGGUAUUAAGCCCUUACGAAGAUGAGAACGCUACCGGUUGUAGGAUGAAUUCAAAACAGAACGACAUUUCCUGUCUCCAGAACUAUGGUAUAUGCCAAAAAUGUGACCGCCGUCGAUGUAAUCGCCGUCGAUUUAGAUGUUGGUGGAGAAUUGCCAGAAAUCCCAAUCGGAAAUGCACUCGAAACUAAUAUAUAAGUUGAAGGGGCAUUUGCUUUUAUUUAGACAAAAACAUAAAACACGAUUGCUUUUG